CCUACGGGAGGCAGCAGUGGGGAAUCUUGCACAAUGGAGGAAACUCUGAUGCAGCGAUGCCGCGUGAGUGAAGAAGGCCUUUGGGUUGUAAAGCUCUUUCGUCGGGGAAGAAAAUGACUGUACCCGAAUAAGAAGGUCCGGCUAACUUCGUGCCAGCAGCCGCGGUAAU
rnacentral:rRNA from 4 species